rnacentral:rRNA from 1 species
UAGUCUCGCACAGAUGCAUAUCAAUAAGCGGAGGAAAAGGAAACUAACAAGGAUUCCCCUAGUAACGGCGAGUGAAGCGGGAAGAGCUCAAAUUUGAAAUCUUAAAGGGUUUCCCUUUACGAAUUGUAGUUUAAAGAAGUGUUUUCUGUUGAGGUUUUGGUAAAAGUUCUUUGGAAUAGGACAUCAUAGAGGGUGAGAAUCCCGUAUUUGACCUUUACUUUCAACUUUGCGAUACACUUUCUAAGAGUCGGAUUGUUUGGGAAUGCAGUCCAAAAUGGGUGGUAAAUUUCAUCUAAAGCUAAAUAUUGGCGAGAGACCGAUAGCGAACAAGUACCGUGAGGGAAAGAUGAAAAGAACUUUGAAAAGAGAGUUAAACAGUACGUGAAAUUGUCAAAAGGGAAGCGUUUGACACCAGUGUUGUUUUUCUGAAAAUCAAUUAAAGAACUGUUUAUGCUAAGCUGUUUAGACUUUAUCAGCUAACUGUUUAGUUUUGAGCUUUUCUUUAAUGCACUUUUCAGUUAACAAGUCAACAUCAAUUUCUUUUGCUGUAAAAAAGCUUGAGGAAGGUGGCUUGAGAUUCGUCUUAAGUGUUUAUAGCCUCUUGCCUAUGCAGUCGGAGAGAUUGAGGUCUGCAGCGUAGAUCCUUCGGGGCUAAAUGCAUUUGUGCUAAGUUAUAGCAUUUUAUAGACAACUUGUUGACUAUGAUUUGUCUUGUAGCUUACUCGCUUAUGUUAUUUUACCUACGCUUAGGAUGUUGAUCUGUAGUGCGUGCGC